AGGACGAACGCUGGCGGCGUGCUUAACACAUGCAAGUCGAACGGUGAACCGGGCUUCGGCCCGGGGAUCAGUGGCGAACGGGUGCGUAACACGUGGGCAACCUGCCCUCAGCUUUGGGAUAACUCCCGGAAACGGGUGCUAAUACCGAAUGUAGACAUUAUGCCGCAUGGUGUUGUGUUGAAAGUUUUUCGGCUGGGGAUGGGCCUGCGGCCUAUCAGCUUGUUGGUGGGGUGAUGGCCUACCAAGGCGACGACGGGUA
rnacentral:rRNA from 1 species